AUUGAACGCUGGCGGCAGGCUUAACACAUGCAAGUCGAGCGAGCGGCGGACGGGUGCGUAAGGUCUGGGAAACUGCCUGAUGGAGGGGGAUAACUACUGGAAACGGUAGCUAAUACCGCAUACAAUCAGAUGUGCCCAGAUGGGAUUAGCUAGUGGGUGGGGUAAGGGCUCACCGAGGGGACGAUCCAUAACUGGUCUGAGAGGAUGACCAGCCACACCGGAACGGAGAAACGGUCCAGACUCCUACGGGAGGCAGCAGUGGGGAAUAUUGCACAAUGGGCGCAAGCCUGAAGCAGCCAUGCCGCGUGUGUGAAGAAGGCCUUCGGGUUGUAAAACUCUUUCAGCGAGGAGGCGUUACUCGCAGAAGAAGCACCGGCUAACUCCGUGCCAGCCGCCGCGGUAAUUC
rnacentral:rRNA from 1 species